rnacentral:lncRNA from 1 species
UCCUUCUAUAUUAUUGAAGCGAGGGGGCUCAACUUGAAGUCUUUAAAUAAAGUCGCAUCCGCCUCUGCGGUUCCACACACCUUUACUAUUAACUCCCGUUUCACUUUCACCAUAGUAGUGUCGCAUAAAAAGCUACCCCUUUCCUUUGCUAUAAGCUGAGUUUCCAAGUUGAGUAGUACAACUCCCAGGUCUUUUCUUUUCUUUUAUGGCAAGAAGUCCCUCCAGCUUGUGUGGUUAACCGAACUGCCUAUCCAAAGAUGAUGAAUUUUUUUGUUUAGUUUCACUUUGUUGUACUGAUUAUUAACCUCCUAGUAGCAGAGCCACCUGUAUCCAAGAGUUAUUAAUUGAUAUUCCUACACCCAAACUUACAUGUAUAGCUAGGUAAAAGAAAAAGAAUAAUGUAAAAAUUCAUUAUUUUGAAUCUGCAGGCUUCUUCACUUCUUUAUAUUAUAACUCCCCUCAGUGAAAAUCCUGAUUUUGACUGUGCCCGCCGGAUGUAUAUCAUACUCUCAUUGCUUUGUUGAGUUAAUUUGGCAUAGAGGUUUAAUUUUCUAUUACUAAACAUAUUAAGAGCCUGUUGGAUGUGCUUAAUUUAAGUAGCUUUUAAGUUAUAAGUUAUAUAUUUUAGCUUUUGGUUUGUUUUUGACAUUUUAACUUAAAAAUAUAUAUAUUUUUAUUCUACCCAAACAAUAUAAAAUGACGAUUUAUUUUUUGCUUAAAAAUAUUUAAAAUAAACCAAUCCAAGCAGCACUUAAUUAGGUGGAUCAAGGAGAGAGUCUGCUAGUAUCAUUGGCCAUCUUCAUCAGUGCUACUAUCUUCUCUUCUCUGGGAGUUAUUCAGCAGCAAUUAAUUGUUGACCUCUCCAAUACAAGGACCUGAAAGAACAAAAUAUAGUAUCUCCAUUUUUUGCUAAAAUCCCUCAUUGUUGUGACAACUCGAGUAUUCUCUAUUCUAUGUUUGUGCCUUCAUUGCUGUGCAUAAACACUGGUUCUGACUAAGAACCACUAUAAGUCAAAAGAGGUAUCUGUCCAUGGCCUAAGUAUGGCCGGAUGCUUAUAUCAUAUAGCUAAAUGCAGCAUAAUCCUUGUAAUAUACUCCAAUGUAUUAUUCAUAGUUUUAGAUAAUUAGUUUUCUCAUUCUUCAGAAAAGUGUAUAACAGUUCGUCACCAUUAAAAUUUAUUUUUGAUAUUUUAAAGAUUAUUAGACCUUAGAAAUAUGUAAGAAUAUCAUGAAAAUAGAAUAAAUGCUCUACAAAAAUUUUACUAUUAGUUCGAAGUAAAAUUUCAGUACUAAUGCAAAGUAAAACGAUGAAUUGUUCAUCCUUCUUAUUUCGCAGGGUAGCUUGGACAAAAAUCCGGUACACGGGCAUUGAUAUUUAUACCCGCUUUUUGGAUCACGUUUUAAUUUGUGCUCGCUAUGCAAAAAAAAUUACAAGUGUGUCCGCUUUUUCGCGUAACUUCAGCAUACGGGGAUGAAGUAGCAAAGACAAUCACGCAAAACUUGAACAUUCUAGUAGACGGCCUGAAGUAGCAAGUGUGCUGAAGCAUAGUAGCUGGAGUUUUGUUCUUUAUUUGAUGAAAUUUUUGUUUGUAAGUGUUGAACCUAAGCAUAGUAAAAGUUUUGUUCUCUAUUUGCUGAAUCUUUGUUUGUAAUUGCACUAAAUAAGCUGAAGUUUUUUUGUCUUGGAUUCAUUAGUUUUCUCAUUAAAAGAUGCUUAAGUUAUUUAGUUCAUUUAUAAAAACUUCAACACUAAAUAAACUGAAGUUUUUUUGGCCAUGGAUAAGCCUUUUCAAAAACUUCAGCAGAAGCUGUUGAAGUUAUUUAGUUCAUUUGUAAAAACUUUAGCAUUAAAAGC